UACUAAAGCUGGAUUUAAGCAUUAUAAUGAUUUGAAUUAUUCAAUACCACAGAUGUCCUCAGAUCUUCACAACUGUUACAAUUCAAGAACCCAAAUGGAGUGAAAAUGAGAUCUCAGGCUCCAAAGAAAUUACAACGAUAAGUCACAAAUAUGUAAUGGACAGAUAAGAGGAAAAAAAAUAGGAUGAACAUGUGAUAGUUGGCAUGUGGCAAGACGGAAUCUGAGAAAUGAAUUUCAUCGAAAUGGAAGAUGAAAUAGGUGAUACAUUUUAUAGUUACCUAUUUUUACUUUGAAGAUUGGAUGGAGAAAAGCUAUCAUCUUCUUGGUUAUAUUAGGACUCAGCAAGUAGAUAUUCAUCUAUGAGUUAAUUCAACCAUUCCUUUAGCAACCAUAAUAAGAAGUGCUGUUGACUAGAAGUAAGAAUGCCAGCUCUUUCUUGAAUGAGAAGCAAACUAAAGCUAUUUCUUCUUUUUCUGGCUGUUUGAUCUCAGGCUAGCAUGACUGUUGCUAUGAUGACACAUUCCUGGAUUCCAGUCUUCCUACAUUUUUAGGCAUACAACAUAGAGGCAGGGGAUAAAGUCCAGUGGAUGAAUUUUUCAACAGUGAAGAGCUGUCCUCAUCGUGGUGCUCUCCACUGACCCCAGGCUUGGACACCAAACUCCCCCACCUUAAUGAUCAAGAAGGUAUCAUCUGCCAUGUCCAUCCAAGACCUGCCAUCUCCUGAUAUGCAACAGGAAAGCUUCUCUGAGACUCAUUUUUUUCUCAUCUGUAAACUGACUUGACAUUUGUAUCUACCAAGUUUCGUGUGAGGCUUAAAUGUAAUAAAACAUGUUAAACCAAAAAAUAAAAAAUAAAUAAUUGCUUAAAUUAAACAAACAAAUAAAAAAUAAAUAAAUAGACAAUAGACAAUAUUAAGUGUGUUGACUUGCAUGUUGAACAAUUACAGGUCUUAAUAAUUAAGGGUAAAUUAAAUGUUACAAAUACUUCUGAAAACUUGUUUCCAGUAUCUAUUAAAAUAACAUGUCACCUAAUAUUUUGUACACACACACACACACUCGCACAGGAUAAAUUCUAAAUUGUAAUGUGUCUGUGUUUCAGUCAACUGGUAUAUCCAUAUAUAUGCAUUGAAAGAUACAAAGAAGAAUGUCAACAGCAGCAUCAUUUAUAUUGGCCCCAAUUUUGUCAAAUUUUCCAAUGCUCCUCACAAGUGAAUUGGAUACAUAAAUUAUUGUAUAUACAAUGAAGUACUGUACAUCAAUUAAAAACAACAAAUUACUCCUAUUCGUAAGAACAGAGAUAAACCACACACAUGAUUUUGAGUUUGAGUGAAAGAAGUCACUGAUGAACGAGUACAAAUGGCUGCUAUUAAGAUGUAUUACUUGAGUGAGAUGGUAUCUCAUUGUGGUUUGGAUUUGCAUUUCUCUAAUGAU